rnacentral:lncRNA from 1 species
CACACGAGCCAUCACACGAGCGGAUGUCACUUAAGUAGUAGUCACUGAGAAGAUUCAGUUCGAGAUGAAACCUGCUUUGAUCUUCAUUGUUGUGCUUAUGCUAUUGUGCAUCAUAAAGACUUCAGCAUCUGAUGUCCUUCACUGCGCAGGAGAGAAACAAAGCGAUGGACUGAUCCACCUCAAAAUGAAGCAUGACCUCAAAAAGGUUGCCCGUGACUGUGAGACACAAUUGCUUGUUGAUGGUAAAGUAACGGCAUAUUUUAAUGCUGAGGAAAAUCAAUGCCUCCAGCCCAUUGCCAAUAUAACAGCAAACAGCGCCAUCUUACAGAUCUGCCCUACAGGACUUGAAUGCCACCUCGUUUGCUUCAGUCUCGG